rnacentral:rRNA from 1 species
AAUAUUGGACAAUGGGGGGAACCCUGAUCCAGCCAUGCCGCGUGUGUGAAGAAGGUCUUCGGAUUGUAAAGCACUUUAAGUUGGGAGGAAGAGUUGUAGGCUAAUACCUUGCAAUUUUGACGUUACCAACAGAAUAAGCACCGGCUAACUUCGUGCCAGCAGCCGCGGUAAUACGUAGGUGGCGAGCGUUGUCCGGAAUUACUGGGCGUAAAGGAUGCGUAGGUGGAUACUUAAGUGGGAUGUGAAAGCCCCGGGCUUAACCUGGGAACUGCUUUCAUAACUGCUGAGCUAGAGUACGGUAGAGGGUAGUGGAAUUUCCUGUGUAGCGGUGAAAUGCGUAGAUAUAGGAAGGAACACCAGUGGCGAAGGCGACUACCUGGACUGAUACUGACACUGAGGUGCGAAAGCGUGGGGAGCAAACAGG